UCGAGAAUUUUUCACAAUGGGCGCAAGCCUGAUGGAGCGACGCCGCGUGGGGGAUGAAUGGCUUCGGCCCGUAAACCCCUGUCAUUUGCGAUCAAACCUUGCUAUUUAAAAGAUGGCGAGCUGAUAGUAGCGAAAGAGGAAGGGACGGCUAACUCUGUGCCAGCAGCCGCGGUAAUACAGAGGUCCCAAGCGUUGUUCGGAUUCACUGGGCGUAAAGGGUGCGUAGGUGGUGGGGUAAGUCGGAUGUGAAAUCUCGGAGCUCAACUCCGAAAUGGCAUUGGAAACUACCCUGCUAGAGGGUCGGAGGGGGGACUGGAAUUCUCGGUGGAGCAGUGAAAUGCGUAGAUAUCGAGAGGAACACCAGUGGCGAAGGCGAGUCCCUGGACGACUCCUGACACUGAGGCACGAAAGCUAGGGGAGCAAACA
rnacentral:rRNA from 1 species